GAUGAACGCUGGCGGCGUGCUUAACACAUGCAAGUCGAGCGAUGAAGUUUCCUUCGGGAAACGGAUUAGCGGCGGACGGGUGAGUAACACGUGGGUAACCUGCCUCAUAGAGUGGAAUAGCCUUCCGAAAGGAAGAUUAAUACCGCAUAAUGUUGAAAGAUGGCAUCAUCAUUUAACCAAAGGAGCAAUCUGCUAUGAGAUGGACCCGCGGCGCAUUAGCUAGUUGGGGGGGUACCGGCCUACCAAGGCGACGAUGCGUAGCCGACCUGAGAGGGUGAUCGGCCACAUUGGGACUGAGACACGGCCCAGACUCCUACGGGAGGCAGCAGUGGGGAAUAUUGCACAAUGGGGGAAACCCUGAUGCAGCAACGCCGCGUGAGUGAUGAAGGUUUUCGGAUCGUAAAGCUCUGUCUUUGGGGAAGAUAAUGACGGUACCCAAGGAGGAAGCCACGGCUAACUACGUGCCAGCCGCCGCAGUAA
rnacentral:rRNA from 1 species